UGGGGAAUAUUGGACAAUGGGCGAAAGCCUGAUCCAGCCAUGCCGCGUGUGUGAAGAAGGCCUUUUGGUUGUAAAGCACUUUAAGCGAGGAGGAGGCUACUUAGAUUAAUACUCUAGGAUAGUGGACGUUACUCGCAGAAUAAGCACCGGCUAACUCUGUGCCAGCAGCCGCGGUAAUACAGAGGGUGCGAGCGUUAAUCGGAUUUACUGGGCGUAAAGCGUGCGUAGGCGGCUUUUUAAGUCGGAUGUGAAAUCCCUGAGCUUAACUUAGGAAUUGCAUUCGAUACUGGGAAGCUAGAGUAUGGGAGAGGAUGGUAGAAUUCCAGGUGUAGCGGUGAAGUGCGUAGAGAUCUGGAGGAAUACCGAUGGCGAAGGCAGCCAUCUGGCCUAAUACUGACGCUGAGGUACGAAAGCAUGGGGAGCAAACAGG
rnacentral:rRNA from 1 species